rnacentral:lncRNA from 1 species
UGUGUCGACAGUCAUUGCAGCAUCAGUCUUAUGGCUUUCAAUAGCAACCGACUUUGGUAUGGCUUCUUCAACAAUCGAAGCAGACUCUGAUGCAGUCGGUGCAACUUCUUCGGUUGGCACUAUUUCCUCUAUAGUUUCUUCUUUCGAACUAGGGGCGGUGAUGCUACUCAGGUCCAAAUCUGGAUACAACUUUCUGAUCGCAUCCC